GAUGAACGCUGGCGGCGUGCCUAAUACAUGCAAGUCUAGCGAACGGACGAGAAGCUUGCUUCUCUGAUGUUAGCGGCGGACGGGUGAGUAACACGUGGAUAACCUACCUAUAAGACUGGGAUAACUUCGGGAAACCGGAGCUAAUACCGGAUAAUAUUUUGAACCGCAUGGUUCAAAAGUGAAAGACGGUCUUGCUGUCACUUAUAGAUGGAUCCGCGCUGCAUUAGCUAGUUGGUAAGGUAACGGCUUACCAAGGCAACGAUGCAUAGCCGACCUGAGAGGGUGAUCGGCGACACUGGAACUGAGACACGGUCCAGACUCCUACGGGAGGCAGCAGUAGGGAAUCUUCCGCAAUGGGCGAAAGCCUGACGGAGCAACGCCGCGUGAGUGAUGAAGGUCUUCGGAUCGUAAAACUCUGUUAUUAGGGAAGAACAUAUGUGUAAGUAACUGUGCACAUCUUGACGGUACCUAAUCAGAAAGCCACGGCUAACUACGUG
rnacentral:rRNA from 1 species